rnacentral:lncRNA from 1 species
UAAAUUCACGUUACUGCUGCUGUCCUAAGCAGACUAAUUCAAAUUUCCCUUAAAUUCCCAAGCUCAAACGCUUAAGAACUUACCAUUUGAGCUUAGAACAUGUCAUGGCCACAUCAUAUCUUAUUAAAUCAACUCAUCAUGUCCUAUUAUAAUUGAAUUUACUCAACGUUUAAACACUUAAAACUUACCUCGGAUCUUGUCGAACGAUUUCGG